GGGGAUGUAAAGGUUUCGACAGGGAGGAGAAAGCCGGAGCAGCGGGUAGUGUUGUGGCCGCACUCUAAAUGCCACAAAACAAUAAUUAACGACAAUACCGUUAAAUUCAGCCGCAGCCCUGCUGCGGUCGCAGCCUAAUCUAAUUUAGCUGCCGUCCGUCCCGCCUCACCGCCGGGCGGGGUACGGGCGUCAUUUAGGCGGUGCACGUGAACAUCCUCUUGCUUUCGGGGGGUGUCAUGACCUAGGAAGCUACCAAGGCGGCGGCUUGUUGGCCGGCCUGCCGCCAAGGGAAUGUUGCAGGCCGACUGCACCCGGAGAUACUCUUGUAGACUCCUUUUUGGACACGGGUUCGAUUCCCGUCAUCUCCACCA
rnacentral:tmRNA from 1 species